UACGAAGGGGGCUAGCGUUGCUCGGAAUCACUGGGCGUAAAGCGCACGUAGGCGGACUCUUAAGUCGGUGGUGAAAUCCUGGAGCUCAACUCCAGAACUGCCUCCCGAUACUGGGAGCCCUCCGAGUCCGGGGAGAGGGUGAGUGGGAACUGCGAGUGGUAGAGGUGAAAUUCGUAGAUAUCGCAAGAACACCAGUGGCGAAGGCGGCUCACUGGCCCCGGUACUGACGCUG
rnacentral:rRNA from 1 species